rnacentral:rRNA from 1 species
UGCUCUCAGCAAUGAGAGUAACUUCUGCCAAUUGCCAAGAAAAAGGCCGUCUUACGCUAAGGUAGCGUAAUCAAAAGCUCAUUAAUUGUGAGCCAGCAUGAAAGAAACCCCCUAUGCAUUCUUUCUUUUUAUUAAAAAAGAAAUUAAAGAAAAUUAAAAAAUCAUUUCCAACCUAUUAGACGAGAAGACCCUAAAAACUGUUUAUCAAUUUUAAUUUUUUGGGGAAAAUAUUAAUCAUUUAUCUAUUUUUUUAAGACAAUAAAAACCACAAGAAUAAGUUACUUUAGGGAUAACAGAACAAUUUUUAAAGAGAGAUCUUAUCUAAUUAAAAGAUUGUGACCUCGAUGUUGGAUUCUUGGGGCUCAAAGUUGCAGCAAGCUUUGAAGAAUAGACUGUUCGUUUUUUAAACCAAG